rnacentral:rRNA from 1 species
GACGAACGCUGGCGGCGUGCCUAAUACAUGCAAGUCGAACGAGUGGCGGACGGGUGAGUAACACGUGGGAACCUACCCAUCAGAAGGGGAUAACUACUGGAAACGGUAGCUAAUACCGCAUAACAUCAGAUGUGACCAGAUGGGAUUAGCUUGUUGGUGGGGUAACGGCUCACCAAUGCGACGAUCCCUAGCUGGUCUGAGAGGAUGACCAGCAACACUGGAACUGCGAAACGGUCAAGACUGCUACGGGAGGCAGCAGUGGGGAAGAGUGCACAAUGGGCGCAAGCCUGAUGCAGCCAUGCCGCGUGUAUGAAGAAGGCCUUCGGGUUGUAAAGUACUUUCAGCGGGGAGGCGUUACCCGCAGAAGAAGCACCGGCUAACUCCGUGCCAGCAGCCGCGGUAAGAC